GGGCAGACUAGAGUGAUGUAGGGGAGACUGGAAUUCCUGGUGUAGCGGUGAAAUGCGCAGAUAUCAGGAGGAACACCGAUGGCGAAGGCAGGUCUCUGGGCAUUAACUGACGCUGAGGAGCGAAAGCAUGGGGAGCGAACAGGAUUAGAUACCCUGGUAGUCCAUGCCGUAAACGUUGGGCACUAGGUGUGGGGGACAUUCCACGUUUUCCGCGCCGUAGCUAACGCAUUAAGUGCCCCGCCUGGGGAGUACGGCCGCAAGGCUAAAACUCAAAGGAAUUGACGGGGGCCCGCACAAGCGGCGGAGCAUGCGGAUUAAUUCGAUGCAACGCGAAGAACCUUACCAAGGCUUGACAUGAACCGGAAAGAUCUGGAAACAGGUCCCCCACUUGUGGUCGGUUUACAGGUGGUGCAUGGUUGUCGUCAGCUCGUGUCGUGAGAUGUUGGGUUAAGUCCCGCAACGAGCGCAACCCUCGUUCUAUGUUGCCAGCACGUGAUGGUGGGGACUCAUAGGAGACUGCCGGGGUCAACUCGGAGGAAGGUGGGGACGACGUCAAAUCAUCAUGCCCCUUAUGUCUUGGGCUUCACGCAUGCUACAAUGGCCGGUACAAAGGGUUGCGAUACUGUGAGGUGGAGCUAAUCCCAAAAAGCCGGUCUCAGUUCGGAUUGGGGUCUGCAACUCGACCCCAUGAAGUCGGAGUCGCUAGUAAUCGCAGAUCAGCAACGCUGCGGUGA
rnacentral:rRNA from 1 species